CAACAACACAUGACAACGUGUUGUUAUUGAUGGGUCGUGCUACUAAUGAGUGUUGACAUUUUGAUAGCGGUAAAAUUAAUACCUAUGUGUGUAAACCAAAAAGUCGCAGUGAUUUUUGAUUAAACAGAUACCUUUGUCGUUUUGAUCUAGACACUGGAAUUGCACAACAUUCUCGGUUAAUUUACGGAUGGCGAAACAGAACCAACUCUGCUGCUACUGAUCGAUCGUUGUAAAAAAAAAACAGUCAGAAAACACAGCUCAGAAAAAAAUACCUGCCUAGCCAAAACUGAUAACUGAUUCCAGACGUUCGAUCAACUAAGAUUCAAUUGCAAAGGAGAAAAGAUUGGAGACAGCAUUCUAAACAUAAUCAUCGGAAAUUUUUUGGGAGCUUUUCUUUUCUUUCAGGCGGGUAACAGAAAGCUCUCGGCAAACAUCAUUCUCUCCGCCUGGCAUUGAUUGCGCAAAGCAUGCAGGCCGGAACCGCGCGGCUAUCGAAUUCUGGACUGGACCAGAGCCGAAGAAAGAAAUCCAUCGAACUCAGCAGAUAUUCAUUAAUACGAUAUCACGGAGUCGAAGUAUUUUUUCUUCUUCCGGAUAUCGAUUUACUUCUCUCGGCGAUUGAUAUCGUUUCUUGGUAUUCGUGGUGUGUUCAUUCAUCGCAGCACUUUCCUAAAAAGAUUGGAAGUGCGAUGGACGCGUUGCUUGUCACUUUUAAUUUCAAACUUAAUACAUGACAAACGACGGCUCUUCGAUGUCAAUGACAUAGCGAUACAGUUUUCUGCUGGCGCGGCGGCGGCCGAUGUGGUGGCGAUUCGGUGUGGAACUGGUUUUCGACAGCGCCCCAAGAGCAGGAUGGAUAAUCAUGAUUUGAUUAUCGCGUAUCCCGCUUAAAAAAUGUAGAAUUGGAACAUUUAGGCGGCGACAAUAAGAGCAG